AGACCUCUGAUCAGAAAAGAGUACCCGCUGAGUUUAAGCAUAUCACUAAGCGGAGGAGAAGAAACUAACCAGGAUUUCCCUAGUAACGGCGAGCGAACCGGAAAGAGCCCAGCUUGAAAAUCGCGGCGCUGCGCGCCGCGAGUUGUAGUCU
rnacentral:rRNA from 1 species